GGCUGGUCCGAAGGUAAGUGAGUAGUAUCUCCGUGAUUGUUCACAGUCGUUACAGAUUGAACUUCCUUCGUUCUUAGACUUUCCGCCCCUCUCACUACUGCAUUGACUAGGUCUGUU
rnacentral:Y_RNA from 1 species